rnacentral:rRNA from 2 species
AAUGACUCUCGACAACGGAUAUCUCGGCUCUCGCAUCGAUGAAGAACGUAGCGAAAUGCGAUACUUGGUGUGAAUUGCAGAAUCCCGUGAACCAUCGAGUCUUUGAACGCAAGUUGCGCCCGAAGCCACUAGGCUGAGGGCACGUCUGCCUGGGUGUCACGC